CAAAUAGCUUGAGGAUGUAGUUGCGAAAACUGUUUGAAAAAUUGACUGAUGAACUAUAUAACUGAAGGCUAUGGUUAACGCAGGCCCAAACACUUGUAUGAAAUGUUUGAAGAUUUAAAUAAAGGAAAUUAUUUUUAAAAAAAAGUA